GCUAACAGAAAAUGAUGGUGAGUCUUCUUCUAUACGACACAUUCAUCACUUUCUCCUUUUACCCCUUUUGUUUUUUAGUUUUUUCCAUGGUUUUAAUGGAUUGUAAUGUGAAUUUUGUGUUGAAAUGUGAAACUGUGUUGUGGUGUUGUGCAUUUCUUUAGUUCAGGUCAGGCUUAUCCUUCCGAAGCAGUGCGAGCUAAGUCAUUUUGAACAUACUUUCCAAUAUUGCUUAUUUUACCAAAUGGGAGAAUAGGAGUUGAGGGCUGACAAGAAAAAACUUCGAGUGAGUUAAUGAUGAGAAGGGGAAGAAGAAAGGGACUGUGCUUUCUGUUAUAAGUGAAAAUUCCUCCAAGAGUAUAUGAAAUAUUUGCAUAAAGAGAAUUCGUUAAAUACCCUUCUGAGGAACUUUAUCCUAACUUGAUUUUGUAUUUUUAUUUGCCAAAGUUUUGAAAAUAAUAAUUCCAAGGAUGUUUCAGGUUCAUAAUGAUGAUGAAGUAAGGGCAUUGUUCAUGCUGCUCUCCAACUCAAGCAAUUGGUACACUCACAUUUUAUCAAUACACAUCUUUCAUUUGUCUCUGAUUUUUAUAAAUUUGGUUUCAAUUCUUAUUUUUAUGAUGUCGGAUACCCUCAAAGUUGGCAGCUUUUUUCUUUUUGCAUUUUGCUCACCGACUGUUUGUAAUUUUGUUUCUUUUGUCAAUAUGUUCAGAACUUCAGAUACUGAAGGAGACAUGGGGUUUCAAGUGGGAGACAUGCAAGGCACUAUACCUGUUACACUUGGGCUCUCGAGACAGCAUUCUUUCCUCAGCUUUGUGAACCCGUGUGAAUUAACAAAAAGAAGAAGAGUACCCUGUACCAA